rnacentral:rRNA from 1 species
UCCGUAGGGGGCUAGCGUUAUCCGGAAUUACUGGGCGUAAAGGGUGCGUAGGCGGUCUUUCAAGUCAGAAGUGAAAGGCUACGGCUCAACCGUAGUAAGCUUUUGAAACUGUAAGACUUGAGUGCAGGAGAGGAGAGUAGAAUUCCUAGUGUAGCGGUGAAAUGCGUAGAUAUUAGGAGGAAUACCAGUUGCGAAGGCGGCUCUCUGGACUGUAACUGACGCUGAGGCUCGAAAGCGUGUGAAGCAAACAGG